rnacentral:rRNA from 1 species
UACGAAGGGGGCUAGCGUUGCUCGGAAUCACUGGGCGUAAAGGGCGCGUAGGCGGGCUUUUAAGUCAGGGGUGAAAUCCUGGAGCUCAACUCCAGAACUGCCUUUGAUACUGGAGGUCUUGAGUUCGGGAGAGGUGAGUGGAACUGCGAGUGUAGAGGCGAAAUUCGUAGAUAUUCGCAAGAACACCAGUGGCGAAGGCGGCUCACUGGCCCGAUACUGACGCUGAGGCACGAAAGCGUGGGGAGCAAACAGG